ACCUGGCUGGCUCAGUUGGUAGAGCAUGUGACUCUUGAUCUCGGGGUUGUGAGUUUGAAUCUCACAUUGGGUA
rnacentral:tRNA from 1 species